rnacentral:rRNA from 1 species
CCCUUAGAUGUUCUGGGCUGCACGCGCGCUACACUGAAGCGUUCAACGAGUAUUCACCUUGCCCGGGAGGGUUGGGUAAUCUUUUGAAAACGCUUCGUGAUGGGGAUAGAUUAUUGCAAUUAUUAAUCUUCAACGAGGAAUUCCUAGUAAGCGCGAGUCAUCAGCUCGUGCUGAUUACGUCCCUGCCCUUUGUACACACCGCCCGUCGCUCCUACCGAUUGAAUGAUCCGAUGAAUAUCAUGGAUUGAGGAUGCAAGUAGGUUCACCUAUCUUCAUCUUCGAGAAGUGAAGUAAAUCUUAUCAUUUAGAGGAAGGAGAAGUCGUAACA